rnacentral:rRNA from 1 species
AGAGUUUGAUCAUGGCUCAGAACGUACGCUGGCGGCACGCCUAACACAUGCAAGUCGAACGGAGUAGCAAUACUCAGUGGCAGACGGGUGAGUAACAUGUAGGUAUCUGCCCUUUGGCCUGGAAUAACACGAGGAAACUUGUGCUAAUACCGGAUAAGUCUUUACGGAGAAAGCUUUAUGCACCAUUGGAUGAGCCUGCACUUGAUUAGUUUGUUGGUGGGGUAAUGGCCUACCAAGACUUUGAUCAAUAGCUGAUUUGAGAGGAUGAUCAGCCACAUUGGGACUGAGACACGGCCCAAACUCCUACGGGAGGCAGCAGUGGGGAAUCUUGCACAAUGGAGGAAACUCUGAUGCAGCGAUGCCGCGUGAGUGAAGAAGGCCCUUGGGUUGUAAAGCUCUUUCGUCGGGGAAGAAAAUGACUGUACCCGAAUAAGAAGGUCCGGCUAACUUCGUGCCAGCAGCCGCGGUAAUACGAAGGGACCUAGCGUAGUUCGGAAUUACUGGGCUUAAAGAGUUCGUAGGUGGUUGAAAAAGUUGGUGGUGAAAUCCCAGAGCUUAACUCUGGAACUGCCAUCAAAACUUUUCAGCUAGAGUAUGAUAGAGGAAAGCAGAAUUUCUAGUGUAGAGGUGAAAUUCGUAGAUAUUAGAAAGAAUACCAAUUGCGAAGGCAGCUUUCUGGAUCAUUACUGACACUGAGGAACGAAAGCAUGGGUAGCGAAGAGGAUUAGAUACCCUCGUAGUCCAUGCCGUAAACGAUGUGUGUUAGACGUUGGAAAUUUAUUUUCAGUGUCGCAGCGAAAGCGAUAAACACACCGCCUGGGGAGUACGACCGCAAGGUUAAAACUCAAAUGAAUUGACG